rnacentral:rRNA from 1 species
UACGGAGGGUGCGAGCGUUGUCCGGAAUCACUGGGCGUAAAGGGCGCGUAGGCGGCCUGAUAAGUAGGGGGUGAAAUCCUGCGGCUUAACCGCAGGGCUGCCUUCUAAACUGUCAGGCUAGAGCACGGUAGAGGCAGAUGGAAUUCCCGGUGUAGCGGUGGAAUGCGUAGAGAUCGGGAAGAACAUCAGUGGCGAAGGCGGUCUGCUGGGCCGUUGCUGACGCUGAGGCGCGACAGCGUGGGGAGCAAACAGGAUUAG